UCCCUACGGGGUGCACCAGGCGCGAAACCUCCGCAAUGUGAGCAAUCGCGACGGGGGGAUCCCAAGUGCCAUUCUUAACGGGAUGGCUUUUCUUAAGUGUAAAAAGCUUUUGGAAUAAGAGCUGGGCAAGACCGGUGCCAGCCGCCGCGGUAAUACA
rnacentral:rRNA from 1 species